GAGUUUGAUCCUGGCUCAGAGCGAACGUUGGCGAGAUGUUUUAAACAUGCAAGUCGAGCGGCAGCACUUCGGGUGGCGAGCGGCGAACUGGUGAGUAAUACAUAGGAAUCUACCUAGCAGACUGGAAUAGCCCCUGGAAACAGGGAUUAAUGCCGGAUAUGCCCAUGGGUGAAAGUGGCGUUUGCCACACUGUUAGAUGAGCCUAUGCCCUAUUAGCUAGUUGGUGGGGUAAUAGCCUACCAAGGCGACGAUAGGUAACCGGCCUGAGAGGGUGACCGGUCACAUCGGGACUGAGAUACGGCCCGGACUUCUACGGAAGGCAGCAGUUAAGAAUAUUCCGCAAUGGGCGAAAGCCUGACGGAGCAAUCUCGCGUGGAGGAUGAAGGCCCUUGGGUUGUAAACUCCUUUUGGCAGGGAAGAAUAAGGUAUAUAGGAAAUGAUAUAUCGAUGACGGUACCUGCAGAAUAAGCACCGACUAACUACGUGCCAGCAGUCGCGGUAAUACGUAGGGUGCAAACGUUGCUCGGAAUCACUGGGCGUAAAGGGUACGUAGGCGGUUUGACAAGUCAGUGGUUAAAGAUUGGGGCUCAACUCCAAGAAUGCCAUUGAAACUGUUAGACUAGAGUUGUAUAUAUGGGUGACAGGAAUUCCUAGUGUAGGAGUGAUAUCUGUAGAUAUUAGGAGGAACACCAAUGGCGAAGGCAAGUCACUGAGUAACAACUGACGCUGAGGUACGAAAGCCAGGGGAGCAAAUCGGAUUAGAGACCCGAGUAGUCCUGGCCGUAAACGCUGCACACUAGCUUUAUGGAUUUUUUCCAUGAAGCGUAGCUAACGCAUUAAGUGUGCCGCCUGAGUAGUAUGCACGCAAGUGUGAAACUCAAAGGAAUGACGG
rnacentral:rRNA from 1 species